UUCGCGGAGACGUCGCGUGUGGGCAGAACCGUGCUACGGUACGAGCCUCUCGACCUCAAAAUCAAUGUGAAACAAUUUGACUGACGACCUCUCCUGUGACACGUCGUAAAUCAUACCUGCAUCGAAGGAGACGAUGCUCUUCCCGUAUUAUUCUCCGUGGCCCGUGUCGUACUAGAAAGUAGAGAAUAGCACGAGCGCCCAGAGGGAAGGAGAGAGAGCCUUUUGUUUCUUUUUAUAAGUGUGUCGACACGUUCGACAUUCGUCGAUGACACGACGUAGGAAAAUAUGCGAAUUUUUGUGAGAGGUCCAGGAAGGGAAUCAAGCCCUUGGAAUCUUAAGACUUAUUUGUAACGUGAAAGUACUAUGCAUACUAGAUUAUAAAAUAAUGUUUGGAAGGAGAAAUUUGGUAUAAUUUUUGCGUAUAAAAUAUUUUCCAUUGAAAAAACAAUUAAUAAUUUCAAAGAACGUAAUAAGGAAACAUUCAACUUUUUGAUGUCUUCAAUGUGAGAUGAACGUGACCCCUAAUAGCUGUCACGUGGCGGGAAGAUCUAAUCGCGCUUAUAACCGUUAACUGCGAUGGAUCGUAAAUCUGAUACACCGACAUUAGUCGAUGGAACUCACCGUAUAUCCAUUAAAUUAUAAUAUCGUCCAUAAAAUUGAUUUCCUGCUGAGUACGUGGCUGCGCAAUAUCGAGAAUUUAAUAAUUCAUCACAGCCUGAUUCGCCUGAGCUCGCUCGCACUAUAGUGCAAUUUACUGUAGACAGAAAAAAACAUCUAAAAUAAAACGAAAAUUUUGCCCCGAAAAAUGUUUACAUUACAAUCGUCCCGUGAUCCGAAGAAACCAAUUUACUUUAUUUACGGACAAUACAAAGAUUUACUCUGGCUGAUAUAGAAUUUAUCAAUUCAACAAGCAAAGAAAGUCCAAAUAAGGGGACCAUUUUGUCUUUGAAAGUACCACGAUUCGCCACUUUGCUCGCAACGUCCUCGAAAAUGUGGAUACGCGAUCCGAGCAAGGCUAUAAAGAAACGAGGGGCAUUUUCUCGUCGCUUUAUCGGUGGAAGAAGAAUGUUCCAUUCAUACUUUUACACGCCAUUUAUGGACGCCUCAUGCGCGGUAUCAGUCUUAUCAGCACUUCUGUGCCGCCUACAAUUUAAUGCGUCUGUAUGCGCAUGUAGAGCUAUCGGGAAAGGUAAGACGGGGCUGGAAGAAACGCUACCUGCGCAGCAAACAACCGUGAAAGCCCUUGUCGACGAGUAUUCAAUGCCGAUCUCCACGAUUCGACUAUCAUUCCAGUUUAUUGUUUUUUUAUCUACCGUCAGUGUUCACGAUAAUAUUAUGAAAUUGUUGGGUAUUACCUUCGAGAUCAAACCGAGAACAGACCACCGAACGAUGAUACUGGAACACUGGUCAUUAUUUUACACUAGUCAAAAUAAUCGGACAAUCGCGAUUUCGGAAUUAUUUACAGUACUGGACAAAAUGAUAGCACAUGUGUAAUACAAUUUAAUUUCUCGACAAAAACGCAGAACUUUUUAAGUGAAACGUUCUAUCGCUCAUCCGAGUAAAUUUGAUCAAGCGAAAAGAGAGUAAACUAAUUUUUAAAUAUAACUUUCAAACUUUAAUUUUAUUUUCUCAUAGAAAUUCAAAUUCAAAUUUUGGUAGCAAAGGAAUGAGCAAUUUCGUUCUCUGUCGUUCGGUCAUAUCUGGAAUUGCCAUAGACACAAAUUAACAUUUAAUGUACGAGUGUACAUGGAUGCUUAUGAUCAUCGCGAUCGAUUGCCUCGGGCGUGGUCGAACGAGAAGUGAAAGUAUGGUCGUGACAAUAAAGAUUGUACGUUAUUAUGCCUACCAUCUUUUACGAAACCAUUGUUGACUGUCGAAAGACAUGUCGAAAAAUAUAUCCUUGGUUGUAAAUUUUGUUGACUUUAUAUAGGUUGUUGGCGUUUGCCAUUUUGCAUUCACACUGAGGUAUUUAUGUUCAGUUAAUCAUUCGGCGUUUGGAGCUAAGGGACAUAAAUGUCCAUGAGAAUAUUGUUCAUUAAUUUAUGGAAAGCAACAAUCGACUUUCCUAUUAAAAUUUUAUAUGUUGAUCUAAAAUAUAAUUGAAUUGUUCAAACAUUGAAAGACGAAAGGUUUUACGGUUCAACCGUUUGCAUCACGACUGAACUAGAUGAAUGAUGAUUUUAAUUUAAUAUCCACGGGACUAUCUCACUCUAUAGGACGACAUUAUCGAUAGGAGCCAAUAAAUAAAACUUUCUCGAUACAUUUUACAUCACCGUCGCAGAUCGUAUCUUAAUUUCCACGGGCGGGGACCGUAGCUUCGUGAAAAUUUGUCAAGUGCGCGCUCUCUCUUCCUGAAGACAGGCGGAGUUGCUAAUUACAUGCAAGAUACGAAACAUUUCACUGGUACCGGUCCAUUAAUAUCGACAUCGACAGUCGCGAACACGGUGGUCCCACGAGGGAGGAUUUCUCGAGUAGCCAUUAAUCACCGUAUCAGGAACAGGACAACUUCGGAGAGACUUAGAAAGCGCCCAAGUUUCUUUUGCUAACGCUGCACCUACAAUCGUGGAAUCACAGUUCCAACAAUUCUUCCACUUACGUUUGAUCGUGUCACGACCAUGCCACUCGAAACUUCGUGAUUAAAUCAAAGUAUUGCAUUGCAUUAUUAUUAAUCCAUUCAGCCUCCAUUCAUUUUACACGGAGCGAGUGAACUGCAUCGUGUUCAUGCAUCCGGUCCAAAACAGAAUCUACGAGUCGAAUUACUACGGAGUCGCACUCGUAGCUUAGGCUGAAUGGAACAAAAAAAAAGCAUCCAUAAUAGUCAAAAGAAG